CCUACGUGAGGCAGCAGUGAGGAAUAUUGGUCCAUGGGCGCGAGCCUGAACCAGCCAAGUAGCGUGAAGGAUGACUGCCCUACGGGUUGUAAACUUCUUUUAUAAAGGAAUAAAGUGAGGCACGUGUGCCUUUUUGUAUGUACUUUAUGAAUAAGGAUCGGCUAACUCCGUGCCAGCAGCCGCGGUAAUACGGAGGAUCCGAGCGUUAUCCGGAUUUAUUGGGUUUAAAGGGAGCGUAGAUGGGUUGUUAAGUCAGUUGUGAAAGUUUGCGGCUCAACCGUAAAAUUGCAAUUGAUACUGGCAGUCUUGAGUACAGUUGAGGUAGGCGGAAUUCGUGGUGUAGCGGUGAAAUGCUUAGAUAUCACGAAGAACUCCGAUUGCGAAGGCAGCUUACUAAACUGCCACUGACAUUGAUGCUCGAAAGUGUGGGUAUCAAACAGGAUUAGAUACCCUUGUAGUC
rnacentral:rRNA from 1 species